GUGAAUCAUCAAAUCUUUGAACGCAAAUCGCACUCUCUUCGGAGAGGAUGCCUGUUUUAGGGUCAGCCUAAAAAAAAUCGACAUAGUCGCUGGUUCGCGGUGACAUUCGUCGGAAAUUGGGUCAUCUUAAACCUUUGGGUUUUUUAACCGGCUUAAAAUUUUUUUUACGAUUCCACGAACGUUUCUUAGAUUUUAUUUUUUACAUCCGUUUAAUGUUACGAUC
rnacentral:misc_RNA from 1 species